rnacentral:rRNA from 1 species
UACGUAGGGGGCAAGCGUUGUCCGGAAUCAUUGGGCGUAAAGCGCGCGUAGGCGGCCCUGUAAGUCCGUUGUGAAAGUCAAAGGCUCAACCUUUGAAUGCCGAUGGAUACUGCAGGGCUAGAGUCCGGAAGAGGCGAGUGGAAUUCCUGGUGUAGCGGUGAAAUGCGCAGAUAUCAGGAGGAACACCAAUUGCGAAGGCAGCUCGCUGGGACGUAACUGACGCUGAGACGCGAAAGCGUGGGGAGCAAACAGG